rnacentral:rRNA from 1 species
GACGAACGCUGGCGGCGUGCUUAACACAUGCAAGUCGAACGGAAAGGCCCUGCUUUUGUGGUGUUCUCGAGUGGCGAACGGGUGAGUAACACGUGAGUAACCUUCCCUUGACUUUGGGUUAACUUCAGGAAACUGGGGCUAAUACCGGAUCGGAGCUCCUGCUGCAUGGUGGGGGUUGGAACGUUUCGGCGGUUGGGGAUGGACUCGCGGCUUAUCAGCUUGUUGGUGGGGUAGUGGCUUACCCAGGCUUUGACGGGUAGCCGGCCUGAGAGGGUGACCGGCGACAUUGGGACUGAGAGACGGCCCAGAGUCCUACGGGAGGCAGCAGGGGGAAAUAUUGCACAAUGAGCGGAAGCCUGAUGCAGAAACGCCGCGGGCGGGAUGACGGCCUUCGGGUUAUAAAAAGCUUUCGCCUGUGACGAAGCGUGAGUGAAGGUAAUGGGUAAAGAAGCACCGGCUAACUACGUG